rnacentral:rRNA from 1 species
GCAAGUCGAACGAACUCUUCGGAGUUAGUGGCAGACGGGUGAGUAACGCGUGGGAACCUACCUAAUAGUACGGAAUAGCCUUGGGAAACUGGGAAUAAUACCGUAUACGCCUCCAAGUUUUGGUGAUUUGGAGGGAAAGAUUUAUCGCUAUUAGAUGGGCCCGCGUUAGAUUAGAUAGUUGGUGGGGUAAUGGCCUACCAAGUCUACGAUCUAUAGCUGGUCUGAGAGGGUGAUC